rnacentral:rRNA from 1 species
AAAUUUGAAAUCUGGCGCAAGCCCGAGUUGUAAUUUGUAGAGGAUGCUUCUGGCCAGCGGCCGUUCUAAGUUCCUUGGAACAGGACGUCAUAGAGGGUGAGAAUCCCGUAUGUGACCGGCGCGCAGCCUUUACGUAGCUCCUUCGACGAGUCGAGUUGUUUGGGAAUGCAGCUCUAAAUGGGAGGUAAAUUUCUUCUAAAGCUAAAUACCGGCCAGAGACCGAUAGCGCACAAGUAGAGUGAUCGAAAGAUGAAAAGCACUUUGGAAAGAGAGUUAAAAAGCACGUGAAAUUGUUGAAAGGGAAGCGCUUGCAACCAGACUUCGUAGCGGUGUUCCGCCGGUCUUCUGACCGGUCUACUCAUCGUCGCGAGGCCAACAUCGUCUGGGACCGCUGGAUAAGACCUAAGGAAUGUGGCUUCCCUCGGGAAGUGUUAUAGCCUGUGGUGAUGCAGCGAGUCCCGGGCGAGGUCCGCGCUUCGGCAAGGAUGUUGGCGUAAUGGUUGUCAGCGGCCCGUCUUGAAACACGGACCAAGGAGUCUAACAUCUAUGCGAGUGUUCGGGUGUCAAACCCCUACGCGUAAUGAAAGUGAACGGAGGUGGGAAGCGCAAGCUGCACCAUCGACCGAUCCUGAUGUCCUCGGAUGGAUUUGAGUAAGAGCAUAGCUGUUGGGACCCGAAAGAUGGUGAACUAUGCCUGAAUAGGGUGAAGCCAGAGGAAACUCUGG